rnacentral:rRNA from 1 species
UGGUGGAGUGAUUUGUCUGGUUAAUUCCGUUAACGAACGAGACCUUAACCUGCUAAAUAGUUACGCAGGCCUUCAAGUGCCGGGGGUUCGCUCUCGUGUGCUUGGGCUUGGCGGCUAACUUCUUAGAGGGACUAUUCGUGCCUAGCGAAUGGAAGUUUGUGGCAAUAACA